GCGCCGGCGCCCCCUCUGGCCGAUGCAGCUCCGGCCACUACUGUCCUGAAGGGACUGCGUACGGCACCCAGUUCCCCUGUCCUGCAGGUACCUACAGCAUCAGGCUGGGCAACGGGCAGCCGGAGGAUUGCCUCCUGUGUCCGGAGGGCUCUUUCUGUCGGCAGGGCACCUCCAAACCCUUACCCUGCCCACCCUCCACUUUUCGCCGGCUGAAAGGAGGCCAGCGGAUAGAGGACUGCUCUGCCUGCCCUGCUGGCUAUUUCUGUCCCCGCUCCGCGACUGUCAGCCCUGGAGUCUGUGGAACUGGCAGCUACUCAGACGAAGGUUCUGAGCGCUGUUCUCCGUGCCUGCGGGGCCAUUACUGCAGCAGCGAGGCCACCAGCGAGGAGGCCAUGUUGAGCAUGAUGGUGUGCCCUGCCGGCUUCCUCUGCUCCCAGGGGCAGGCCAGAGACCCCCAACGCUCAGCCACCCUCUGCCCCCAGGGGUUCUACUGCCCUGGGGGGGGAAUAGAUCCCAAUCCUGUUCCGUGCUCCAACGGGACCUACAGUGGAUCUCCUGGUUUGCGUGACGUCAACGAGUGCGUCCAGUGUCCUCCGGGAAAGUACUGCUACUCCCUGAAUCCUCAGCAGAAGCCUAUCAAUGAGCCUAGCGGAGCCUGCCCGGAUGGACACUUCUGCCCUCAGGGAACUGGCGACCCGUACACUUUCCCCUGCCGGGCAGGUCACUUCAGGAACAACACGCUGGGUCACUCAGGAGAGGCGUGUGUCCUGUGUCCAUCCAGGCACUACUGCCUCCGACCCGGAACACAGCUGCCUGAGAUCUGCCCGCAGGGCUUCUACUGUCCCGAGGGCAGCUCGGAUCCUCAGCCGUGUCCGGAAGGAAGCUACGGAUCCCGGCCGGCUCUCAUUGAUAGGUCUGAGUGCACCUCUUGUGGCGGUGGCCGGUAC
ensembl:lncRNA